rnacentral:rRNA from 1 species
CAGCCGCCGCGGUAAUGCGUAGGUGGCGAGCGUUGCCCGGAAUUAUUGGGCGUAAAGGGAGCGCAGGCGGACAUAUAAGUCCAUCUUAAAAGUGCGGGGCUCAACCCCGUGAGGGGAUGGAAACUGUAUGCCUUGAGUGCAGGAGAGGAAAGCGGAAUUCCCAGUGUAGCGGUGAAAUGCGUAGAUAUUGGGAGGAACACCAGUGGCGAAGGCGGCUUUAUGGACUGCAACUGACGCUGAGGCUCGAAAGCCAGGGGAGCGAACGGGAUUAGAUACCCGAGUAGUCCCUGUCUCUUAUACC